rnacentral:rRNA from 1 species
UUGACCUCGGAUCAGGUAGGAAUACCCGCUGAACUUAAGCAUAUCAAUAAGCGGAAAAAAAA